UACGAAGGGGGCUAGCGUUGCUCGGAAUGACUGGGCGUAAAGGGCGCGUAGGCGGCUCAUACAGUCAGAUGUGAAAUUCCUGGGCUUAACCUGGGGGCUGCAUUUGAUACGUGUGGGCUUGAGUGGGGAAGAGGGUCGUGGAAUUCCCAGUGUAGAGGUGAAAUUCGUAGAUAUUGGGAAGAACACCGGUGGCGAAGGCGGCGACCUGGUCCUUGACUGACGCUGAGGCGCGAAGGCGUGGGGAGCAAACAGG
rnacentral:rRNA from 1 species